UACGGGGGGGGCAAGCGUUGUUCGGAAUUACUGGGCGUAAAGGGUGCGUAGGCGGCUCUCUAAGUCGGAUGUGAAAACUCUGGGCUCAACCCAGAGCCUGCAUCCGAAACUGGAGGGCUAGGGUUCUGGAGGGGAAAGCGGAAUUCCUGGUGUAGCGGUGAAAUGCGUAGAUAUCUGGAGGAACACCGGUGGCGAAGGCGGCAUCCUGGACCGGCAUUGACGCUGAGGCGCGAAAGCUAGGGGAGCAAACGGG
rnacentral:rRNA from 1 species